AUUGAACGCUGGCGGCAUGCCUUACACAUGCAAGUCGAACGGCAGCACGGGAGCUUGCUCCUGGUGGCGAGUGGCGAACGGGUGAGUAAUACAUCGGAACGUACCCAGUAGUGGGGGAUAACGCACCGAAAGGUGCGCUAAUACCGCAUACGACCUAAGGGUGAAAGCGGGGGACCGCAAGGCCUCGCGCUAUUGGAGCGGCCGACGUCUGAUUAGCUAGUUGGCGGGGUAAAGGCCCACCAAGGCGACGAUCAGUAGCUGGUCUGAGAGGACGAUCAGCCACACUGGGACUGAGACACGGCCCAGACUCCUACGGGAGGCAGCAGUGGGGAAUUUUGGACAAGGGGCGAAAGCCUGAUCCAGCAAUGCCGCGUGUGUGAAGAAGGCCUUCGGGUUGUAAAGCACUUUUGUCCGGAAAGAAAUGGCUCUGGUUAAUACCUGGGGUCGAUGACGGUACCGGAAGAAUAAGGACCGGCUAACUACGUGCCAGCAGCCGCCGUAA
rnacentral:rRNA from 1 species